UUCUGCUGCUGAUCUUCUCGUUGAACGCUACACCAGCGACAUUUCACCGGCGUUUUGCUCUCAAUUGUUGUCAUUUCAUUGCAUGUUUUCAAUCCAUCUUGUCAACCAAGUCGACUGUUUUUUGAAGUAGCUGAACUGUGGCUGACAGAUCACUGUGCACCGUCGUCUACUUUCAGUGACAUCUGCACGGCUUACAUGUUACUGCCGACUACGCCAGUGACUGUUGCUGUGUCUGAACGAUCGUUCUUCAAGUUAAAACCCAUCAAAAAUGACCUCAGAAGCACCAGGUCACAAGACAGACUUAGUGGCUCGGCUGGACUCUCAAUCUAAAACGAGCACGCCAGACAACCCGACGGGUCAAACAAUGGUACAUGGAAUGGACUCCCCAACACUUCAUCUUGGUUUUUGUUGUUUCACCUUACGCAGUGCAUCCUGGGCCUGCCUGACCAUUCUGCUGUCCUGGAAGUGACAACACGCUGGAAACCCGCUGUCUCUCGUGGUGGAAGGACUUGUGGAACAGCCAUACUGGCAUCCUCCUUGGACCCACGAGGCAAAAGGUAAUCCACUUACUCAUAAAGAGCUAGUAGACAUUAAUGAAAAGUCUAAGCAAACGUAAUGUAUGACAUGUCAGCACGCCGACCAUUCACGUCUUCAACCCUAACCCUAUUCAAAACAAAUGUGUCACUUAAUGUUUACAUAGUGUGGGCCACCAGGGGGCGUACAGCUCCCCAAACCCCGGGCACGACAGACACAGAGCCCAGUCUUAUCACACAGCACGCCUUUAUUUCACCUUUUUAUUUCCUUUAUUUUCUGUUGCUCCCCACAACACAGCACAGUAUAAGCACCAAAUAACACUCUUCUUCUUGUCUCUUGUCCGACUCCACUCUUCCUCACAAGCUUUCUCCUCCUCCUCCCGACUGAGGCUCGCCCCUGUGAGGCUGGCAAGUCCUUUUAUGUCGGCCAACCCUCUUGCGCCCACGUGGUCAGCCAGCACUUCCUGGUGAGGCGGAAACCUCAAGCCAAUAUGGCGCCUCCAUUUUUACAGCACCCCAUGGCGGCACCCACAGUACCCUAUGUAACCGACUCGACUCUGCUUUUUCCUGCGUUGUGUAAAUAAUUAUCACGUAGGCACGUUGAGUUAGAACACGAGCUUUUAUUUUCCUCCUUCAGUAAACCCCCUUUGCAAAACAAAAGAAAUAGACAGAGCGUCACAUAUACGUCUUCUUCCCUCUGCCCACACAGCGUCCACGACGCUUCUCGCGUUAUUAUUUAUAUAAACACAUUACAUAUAAAACUAUUUACAAUAAAAUUACUCCAAUUUUCCAAAGAA